rnacentral:misc_RNA from 1 species
GCAGUGCUUUGAUGGGUGACUUCUGUAGGGAAAAAUCGAGGUGUUCUAAAACAAUUACCUUGUGGCACUAUUGUUCAGAAUCCCUUCUAAUAUACUUGCACAUUGCCUAAGCAUGAAAUUUGAAGUCAAAUGUGAUAUAUCUUGAAAGUGGUAUGUGGAUUGACCAAUUCACUGCAUAAGUAGCAUUAAUAAAAAAUGUGGUUCCUUCUUCCAUUAUCA